UUGAACGCUAGCGGGAUGCCUUACACAUGCAAGUCGAACGGCAGCACGGACUUCGUCUGGUGGCGAGUGGCGAACGGGUGAGUAAUGUAUCGGAACGUGCCCAGUAGCGGAGGGAGAACUACGCGGAAGUUUAGCUAAUACCGCUUACGGGCUAAGGGGGAAUUUUGGGGAUCCUCAGCCUUUGAAUUAUCGGAGUGGCCGGUUUCGGAUUAGCUGGUUAGUGGGGCCACCACUCCCCAAGUCGAUGUUCCGUUGGUGGUUUGAGAGGUCGGCCACCAUGCACUUGGGACUGGACCAAGUCCUAGGCUCCUGCAGCAGGCAGCAUUGGGGAACUUUGGCCAAUGCGGGAAACCAUGAUCACGCCAUGGUGAGGAGGCGAUUAAGGCUUUCAAGUCCUAAUGCACUUUUGGCAGGAAAGAAACGUCGCGGGUUAAUACCUCGCGUAACUGUCAGUAGCUGCAGAAUAAGGACAUGGCAACGUCGUAACGGCAGCAGCGGUACUAGCGAUAGUGCCUGCGUUAAUCGGAAUUACGGGGUGUAAGUGUUGUAGUCUGAGCAGGUGACUCUUCUUGGGGGAGGGGUACACCCAUAGCGUAACUUCAUACGUGCUUCCGCCACUACAGGGCAAGAGUGUGUCAGAGGGAGGUGGCAUUCCUAUUGAAGCAGCGGCCUGUGUAGAUGUACAGCCGAACACGAAGGGAGAAGCGCAGCCUCACAGGGACAACAGUGGCGCUCAAGCAUGAAAGCCAAACGAGCAAACAUGCCUUGAUACCCUACUCGUCCACGCCAUGAAGGAUGUAUACUAGCUGUUGGGGCCUUCGGGCCUUGGUAGCGCAGCUAACGCGUGAAGUUGACCGCCUGGGGAGUACGGUCGCAAGAUUAAAACUCAAAGGAAUUGACGGGGACCCGCACAAGCGGUGGAUGAUGUGGAUUAAUUCGAUGCAACGCGAAAUUACCUUACCUUACCCUUGACAUGUCUGGAAUGCCGAAGAGAUUUGGCAGUGCUCGCAAGAGAACCGGAACACAGGUGCUGCAUGGCUGUCGUCAGCUCGUAUCGUGAGAUGAUGGGUUAAGUCCCGCAACGAGCGCAACCCUGGUCACUAGAUGCUACGAAAGGGCACUCUAAUGAGACUGCCGGUGACAAACCGGAGGAAGGUGGGGAUGACGUCAAGUCCUCAUGGCCUUUAUGGGUAGGGCUUCACACGUCAUACAAUGGUCGGGACAGAGGGUCGCCAACCCGCGAGGGGGAGCCAAUCCCAGAAACCCUAUUGCAGUCCGGAUUGCAUUCUGAAAUUGGAAUGCGUGAAGUCGGAAUCGCUAGUAAUCGCGGAUCAGCAUGUCGCGGUGAAUACGUUCCCGGGUCUUGUACACACCGCCCGUCACACCAUGGGAGUGGGUUUUACCAGAAGUAGGUAGCCUAACCUCAGGGGGGGCGAUUACCACGGUAGGAUUCAUGACUGGGGUGAAGUUGUACCGAUGCAUCCGUAUCGGAAGGUGCGGCUGGAUCAC
rnacentral:rRNA from 1 species